AUGUUUAAUGCAGUACAUUCAGUACUUCAAAAUAUAGCAUCUGAUGGGUCAGCUGGCUCAAUUCGUGCAGAUGGAGACACUGCUUUCAACUACUUAUCUUCUUUUGAGUUCAUAUUUGUCUUAUGUCUGAUGGAAGAAACAUUGGAGAUAACUGAAGAUCUUGGUCAAGCUUUGCAAAAGAAAUCACAGGACAUAGUAAAUGCCAUGCGUCUAGUGUUCACAACAAAGGUUCGUCUUGAUGAAAUGAGAUCAGAUGAUGGUUGGGAGGCCUUCUUUGAUAGGGUUGUUGAGUUUUGUGUAAAUCAUUCCAUUGAUAUUCCAGAUUUGGGAGAAACUUACAUUCUGCGUGGUGGUCGUGCUCGUCGCCAACCAGAUCAUUUUACUAAGGAGCACUAUUUCCGGGUGGAAGUAUUUCGUGCAACACUUGAUACUCAGCUACAUGAAUUAGAAUUCAGGUUCAAUGACAAGGUACUGGAUCUAUUGACCACUAGUGCUACCCUGAUCCCUAAAAAUAAAUUCAGAUCUUUCAAAGCUGAUGAUAUUUGUGAGUUAGUCAAGAAAUAUUAUCCAGCAGAUUUCACCCAACAAGAAAUCUAUGGAUUGGAGCAGCAACUAAAACACUUUGUUGUGGAUGCCUCCAAUGAUAAAGAGUUGAAAAAUGUGUCAACCUUAACAAAUCUUUGUCGAUAUCUCUUUGAGACGGGGAGACAUUCUAUCUACAAUUUGCUUGAUUGA
rnacentral:rRNA from 1 species